UCAACUAGUCAUGUAUGUGAUCCAUGUAUAGUGUGUGAUUGACUUUUUGUCUCUAUAGCAUUGUCUGAUCUGAGUUGACCAUAUCCUCAUUGGCAGAACUCCAGAUUACCAUGUGAAAUGAAUGGUUGACUUUUUGUCUCUAUAGCAUUGUCUGAUCUGAGUUGACCAUAUCCUCAUUGGCAGGACUCCAGAUUACCAUGUGAAAUGAAUGGUUGACAGUAAUUGAGAAUAGAAGGGAGAUUAAAAUUUGGGAAGAAAUUUAGUUUUCUAUUAAUUUCUCAUGAACAACAGCUAUAACUACUACAACUCAGCCUUAUCCCAACUAAAAAGGGUUGGCUACAUGGAUCAAAGACACCAAAAGAAAAAGUAAGAGGGAAGGAACACAACUCAACAAAUCAGGUGUUUCAUGUAUCUGGUUCAGAUCUUUCGCAAAAGAGAGCGGAUGCUGGUAGUGGCUCUUGUAUCUGACUUUUCAAUGCUCCGGCCAAGAAUGAAGCAGAUUGUUGUUUCUUUUGGUUUCAUCUGAACCUCAGGUAAGAAGAGGGUGAUGGAGCAUGAACCAAAGAGAUCCUGAGUUCAGGUGAAGGAACUCUUCUGGUAAGCUUUCAAACCCAAUUGCUAUGCAUUUCUGGUAUGAGACUAUACAAAAAUGUGAUAUACACACAGAGAUUGCUCAACACUAUAAUACAUUUAAUCUGGCUAAAGAGAUUGCUUAACACUAUGGCUUCUAAGAGUUUCAGGCUUGCAGGUAUAUAUAGGAUAAGCAUUUCUGGGUGAUGGUCAGACUGUUCUUCUACUGCUGCCCUGCAUCUACCAUCCAAUUUCCUUCAGGUGUUGAAGUAAUGGAGAUCAAGACCUGAAAGGGGAUUUUGGGGAAUGGAUGUGAAGCUAGGGAAGCAUCUUCCCCAAUCCAACCCUGCCUUUUACAGCUUUACUUCACUCUUUCCUCUUGAAGAAGCUUUUGGUAUGCUGGAAAGCCCUUCUUGCAAGCUGAAACCUGCGCAGGAGGACAGAAACAGUUUAUGAUCUAUGAACUUUACAAACACACACAUGGGAUUUUUAAAAAUUUCAUUUUUAUUGUUGAGGAUUACUUCUCUAGGGUUGAAUAGACUGCUAAUGAAUUUUGAAAAGAAUAAUUUCUGCCUACUAA